GACAGAGGGUGCGAACGUUGCUCGGAAUCAUUGGGCGUAAAGCGCGUGUAGGCGGCCAUGCAAGUCGGAUGUGAAAGCCCUCGGCUCAACCGGGGAAGUGCACUCGAAACUGCAAGGCUAGAGUCUCGGAGAGGAUCGUGGAAUUCUCGGUGUAGAGGUGAAAUUCGUAGAUAUCGAGAGGAACACCGGUGGCGAAGGCGGCGAUCUGGACGAUGACUGACGCUGAGACGCGAAAGCGUGGGGAGCAAACAGG
rnacentral:rRNA from 1 species